rnacentral:rRNA from 1 species
CCUACGGGUGGCUGCAGUGGGGAAUAUUGGACAAUGGGCGAAAGCCUGAUCCAGCCAUGCCGCGUGUGUGAAGAAGGCCUUCGGGUUGUAAAGCACUUUCAGUGGGGAAGAAAGCCUUGGGGCUAAUACCCUCGAGGAAGGACAUCACCCACAGAAGAAGCACCGGCUAACUCCGGGCCAGCAGCCGCGGUAAUACGGAGGGUGCGAGCGUUAAUCGGAAUUACUGGGCGUAAAGCGCGCGUAGGCGGUCUGAUAAGCCGGUUGUGAAAGCCCCGGGCUCAACCUGGGAACGGCAUCCGGAACUGUCAGGCUAGAGUGCAGGAGAGGAAGGUAGAAUUCCCGGUGUAGCGGUGAAAUGCGUAGAGAUCGGGAGGAAUACCAGUGGCGAAGGCGGCCUUCUGGACUGACACUGACGCUGAGGUGCGAAAGCGUGGGUAGCAAACAGGAUUAGAUACCCCGGUAGUC